CCAAAAGAGGUGCACCACCGACUCUCUUCCACCUUCUUCUUCCGAUCAUGCCCUCUGAAACCCUAAUUUCACAUUUCAAACCUUCAACUUCACCUCUCAAUUCCUCCAAACCACCCACACCUACCACCACCUCACCACCACCACCUCCCACCGCCGCACAACCAAUGAUUUGCACCGCCAAAUCAUCCAAUUGGCUCGACCGCCUCCGUUCUUCCAGAGGCUUCCCGGAUUCCGAUCACAUUGAUCUCGAACACUUCCUCUCAACUUCCACUGACAAAACCGAUUCAUCGGUAAUUAAAUUCACCUGUAAAAAGCCUCUGAUCGAUGAGAAUUUCGUCGCCGAAAAGCGUGACGAUGAUAAUAAAUCUGUACAAAAGCGUGAUUUGAUAAACAAUGUACUUUCGGAGCUUUUUUACAUGGGAGAGUGUGAGGAACAGUCGAGAAUUAAGAUGGAAAAGAGUUGUAGAAACAGGAAGCAACUGUGCCCUAGAGUUCAUGUUGUUUUGGCGAAUUCGGAUGUUCGGAAUGAUACUGCUGCUCGAAAGGAUAGGGUUUCUUUGAGUAGUGGGCGGAAGGUUAAGGAAGUUAGCCAGGUGAAGGAGUGUGUGGGAGUGGGAGAGGGAGAGGGAGAAGAGAAAGGCGGUCGGGAUUGUGAUCUUUCGGCAUAUUCGCAGACGGAGGUUACGGUUAUUGAUACGAGUGUUCCAUGUUGGAAGUUUGAGAAGGUGUUGUAUAGGAGUAAGAAUGUGUGGAAGGUUGGGGAUAGGAAAGGUAAGGGGUUGAUGAAUGGUGAUAAGAAGAGGAAAGAGAGGGUGAGUGAGAGUGGUGGCGAUGUACCGAAGAAGAAGUUGAAAAAGAAGAUGAAAUUGAGUAAUUCGUUGAAGGCUGAUCAGGGACGCGACCAAGGCAAGGUGGUAGCAGGAAAUGAGAAGAAACGGGAUAAUUCUAGCCAACUACAAGAAAAGAGUUUUUGCAAGAAACAAAUAGAUGAAGGUUCAUCUGUCAUUCUUAUUAAAAGCAUCCCAACAACAAAUAAAAAGAAUGCGUCAGGCAUCUCAAAUGGCUGUGUGAAAUCUAUGCAAAGAUAGAACACAUCAAAUUUAGGGUUCUUCCAGAGGUCGAGAAAGUACAGCGGGAGCAGCAGUUAAUAUGGACAAAGAUGAAAAGAGACUUGUUUACCGAUCAUCUCGAUCUGGUCUUCAGGUAUGAAGAUGGAAGAUGGAAUCGAAGAGUUGCUUAUGAGUUUUAUUAAACCAGCUACUUAUACUCUCUAUAACUAUAAUGAAGGUGUUAUUAUUGUCAAGUGGUUUAGUUUAUAAUAUAAAGCAUAAUCUACUAAA